rnacentral:rRNA from 1 species
AUACGUAGGGGGCGAGCGUUGUCCGGAAUGAUUGGGCGUAAAGGGCGCGUAGGCGGCCCGGUAAGUCUGGAGUGAAAGUCCUGCUUUUAAGGUGGGAAUUGCUUUGGAUACUGCCGGGCUUGAGUGCAGGAGAGGUAAGUGGAAUUCCCAGUGUAGCGGUGGAAUGCGUAGAGAUUGGGAGGAACACCAGUGGCGAAGGCGACUUACUGGACUGUAACUGACGCUGAGGCGCGAAAGUGUGGGGAGCAAACAGGAUUAGAUACCCUGGUAGUCCACACUGUAAACGAUGAAUGCUAGGUGUAGGGGGUAUCGACCCCUUCUGUGCCGCAGUUAACACAAUAAGCAUUCCGCCUGGGGAGUACGGCCGCAAGGUUGAAACUUAAAGGAAUUGGCGGGG